rnacentral:tRNA from 1 species
AAGGGAAAGUAGAAAACUAAAAGUAGCUGCUAACUAACUUUUAAGGUGGUUAAAGUCCAUCCAUCCCUUA